UCCCCUAAAAAUUAAACAAAAAAGGAAAUUUUGUGGGUUUUCAUUAGAAACCCUAAAGUUAUGUUGAUCUGCUAUCCGUUUCUUCUAUUAUACAAAAAAUCCGGCCAUACAAUUGGUGUAUUUCAACUUUUUUGGUUUGCUUGUGUUUGAUCUGCCUUUUCUCUCACACUUGAAUCGUUCAAUCGACCCAAUUUGAAAGAUGGAUAAUGUGGAGGAAGAAAUGGUUGAGGAUAAUUUCUGGGGGUGCAAUGACUGUCAUGAUAGCUAUUAUUCCCAUGGUCUUGACAAUGUAAUAUUGACACACACACAUAAAACAGAAUGCUAGUCCAACUCAACUUCAAACUAUUCAUGUUAGCAAAUAAAUAAGAUUGGUAGAUUCAACUAGCAUCGAGCACAAGCAUUCAGAGUUAACUAGACCACAUCCUUCAGAAGUCCGUUAGCACAAAAAGACCCAAGUUUCUCGCUGCACCUGCAUCCUAAUUGCUAUUCAAGAUUGCAGUUUUUAUAAAUUAACAGCAUCUAGGUUCGUAGAAAAACAGUGUUUCCAAAAAAAAAAAAAA